AGGGUUUGAUCAUGGCUCAGGACGAACGCUGGCGGUGCGCCUUAUGCAUGCAAGUCGAGCGAAGCUUUUCAGUAGUUUACUACAGAAAAUGACUGAGCGGCGAACGGGUGAGUAACGCGUGAGCAAUCUACCUUAGUUACUGGGAUAGCCCGAGGAAACUCGGAUUAAUACCGGAUAAUCUUAUUACAUCACAUGAUAUUUUAAGUAAAGGUCAGCCGAACUAAGAUGAGCUCGCGUUCUAUCAGCUUGUUGGUGGGGUAAAAGCCUACCAAGGCUACGACGGAUAGCUGGUCUGAGAGGACGAUCAGCCACACUGGGACUGAGACACGGCCCAGACUCCUNCGGGGGGCUGCAGCAGGGAAUAUUGCGCAAUGAGCGAAAGCUUGACGCAGCGACACCGCGUGUGGGAUGNCGGUUCUAGGAUNNNAAACCACUUUCAGGAGGGAAGAAAAUNACGGUACCCCCACAAGAAGCCCCGCCANNC
rnacentral:rRNA from 1 species